GGAUCAAUGACCCCAAAAAUUCAUUCCUUGGAGAGCGGAACAACAUGAGUGAGAACUCAUACUCUCAUCAUUUUCAUCGGAAACUGAGGUCC